rnacentral:rRNA from 1 species
AAGUCGAACGGUUGAGAGGUGAGAGUUGGGAGGUUAGAAGUGAGAGCUUGAAGGUAUUGGCCAACAUGCCAAUACCAGCAAUGAAGUCUCACAUCCCGCUUCCCACAUCUCACUUCUCAAUAGUGGCGGACGGGUGAGUAACGCGUGGGCAACCUACCCAUCAGACUGGGAUAACACCGGGAAACUGGUGCUAAUACCGGAUACGCUUAUGGAGGGGCAUCCCUUUGUAAGGAAAGAAAAUCGCUGAUGGAUGGGCCCGCGUCUGAUUAGCUAGUUGGUGGGGUAGUGGCCUACCAAGGCGACGAUCAGUAGCCGGCCUGAGAGGGUGACCGGCCACACUGGGACUGAGACACGGCCCAGACUCCUACGGGAGGCAGCAGUGGGGAAUAUUGCGCAAUGGGGGAAACCCUGACGCAGCAACGCCGCGUGAGUGACGAAGGCCUUCGGGUCGUAAAGCUCUGUCGACAGGGACGAAUAGAUGACGGUACCUGAGGAGGAAGCCCCGGCUAACUACGUGCCAGCAGCCGCGGUAAUACGUAGGGGGCGAGCGUUGUCCGGAAUUAUUGGGCGUAAAGGGCGUGUAGGCGGGUACCUAAGUCAGUG